rnacentral:tRNA from 1 species
UCCCUGGUGGCUCAGAUGGUAAAGCGUCUGCCUACAAUGCAGGAGACCAGGUUCAAUCCCUGGGUCGGGAA